AUCUUUGUGGACGCUGAUAAAGACAAUUAUCUGAAUUACCACAAGAGAUUGAUUGAGCUGGUCAAAGUUGGUGGAGUGAUCGGGUACGACAAUACCCUAUGGAAUGGGUCUGUGGUGGCACCACCUGAUGCACCCCUCAGGAAAUAUGUUAAGUACUACAGAGACUUUGUGAUGGAGCUCAACAAGGCCUUACCGGCGGACCCCAGAAUUGAGAUCUGCAUGCUCCCUGUUGGUGAUGGGAUCACUCUCUGCCGUCGGAU
rnacentral:misc_RNA from 1 species